CUCGUUUCAACUGAAUGAUCACUAUUUUUGUCUGCUGACCAACAUUGUUGAUGUUGCUGGAUAACACCUGAUGAAUUUAGACUGCUUUUGGGGUUUUGAAGAUUAAA